rnacentral:rRNA from 1 species
AACUGAGGGUAGCGGAGAAAUUCCAAUCGAACCUGGAGAUAGCUGGUUCUCUCCGAAAUAGCUUUAGGGCUAGCCUCAAGUGAUGAUUAUUGGAGGUAGAGCACUGUUUGGACGAGGGGCCCCUCUCGGGUUACCGAAUUCAGACAAACUCCGAAUGCCAAUUAAUUUAACUUGGGAGUCAGAACAUGGGUGAUAAGGUCCGUGUUCGAAAGGGAAACAGCCCAGACCACCAGCUAAGGUCCCAAAAUAUAUGUUAAGUGGAAAAGGAUGUGGCGUUGCCCAGACAACUAGGAUGUUGGCUUAGAAGCAGCCAUCAUUUAAAGAGUGCGUAAUAGCUCACUAGUCGAGUGACACUGCGCCGAAAAUGUACCGGGGCUAAACAUAUUACCGAAGCUGU